UUAUCUUUGAUGCUCAAAUUAUGAAAAACAAAACAGUAAAUACUUGGUGGUGGAUCUCGCAACAGUAAUGUCGUGAAACAACCUUGUAUUUAAAAUUUAAAUAACUGAAAGGCCUGUC
rfam:Leeuwenhoekiella blandensis MED217 1099517004301, whole genome shotgun sequence.